CAUCAGGACUUGCAGUUAGCCUGAGGGCCUCCUAGCAUAAACAGAUUUAAACCCAUCAAUUAAGUUUUAUGAUCCUGCUGAGUCCCUUUUGUGGUCACAGGGCUGCUGGAGCCAGUCCAGCUACUUUUUGAAAAGCUGGGGUACACCCUGAAGGGCAGGUCUCACACACACAUGCACACCUAGGGCCAAUUUAGAGACACAAAUUUACCUGCGAAGUAUGUUUCUAAACUCACCUUUGAAAGUGUAAAACAUGCAAAUUAAACAUAGGUCCCAUUCAAGCUCUUCUCACUGUGAGAGGUGAGGUGAGAGCACUAACAGCAACUAGAUUUAAGACAAUACAUUUAGGUUUAAACCUUUACAAAUUGCUGAUUCUGCAGUACUUGCAUGAUGCAAUUUUACAUAACAAUGGUCAAGUCAGAAUAUAAUAAAGUAACAUUUUAUCUAAUGUUAAUUCAUUGGACUCAAGCUUGUUAAGAGGUCCUUGGGGGCCAUUCUUUUAAACAUAUAAACAGAACUGGCGCAUUAUUAAUGUAGACCUCCCAGACAAGUGUGUCCUACUGGAUUUCAGCUUUUUUUAAUAUAAAAUAUUUCCACUGACUGGCAGAGACUCCCUCAAGUCAUUUUUUGUACAAGUACAAACCCAGUUUUUUUUUUUUUUUUAAAUCCAGUCUUCAAACUUAUUGUUAAAGUGUCACAAUUUGUUAUUAAAAUUAUUUCUAAAUACAUCGUGGGAACAGCAUAACAGGCUUUGGGUGUUUCUGGAUUAACAAUGCUAAAGUAUUGGAAAGAAAACCUGACAUUCAGGUCCUGGAGCUAAAAAAAUGAAGAAAGAAAAAUCAAAUUGUUUUUCCGGCUGAGACUAAAAUCUAAAAUCCUCAUCUCCGCUGUCUGUUUGGAUCAUGCUAUCUGAGUCGAUUUGGGUAUCAAGGUUUCCAAUAAAUUCACUUUUUUUAGUAUUAUAACCCUAAAAUGUGUUUUAUAAAGAAAUUUGUGCAUAACUUCUCUUAAAGUGAUUUCACUUAAAUAUAUGAGUAAGCUUUUGCAUUUAUGUCUGGAUUUCAAAUUUAAAACAACAGGAGUGAUGCAUUAGCAUCUGUUCUAACUCCUGCAGGUUUUCCGCACUGAGACAGAGAAUCACACUCAUUAAAUUUAUGAGAAAGAGUCGCAUUUUCAUCAUGACUUGACUUUUUAUUCAUUACAUCAAUUGAGCAAAAGUGCAAUUCAGCCAGUCUGACUUCUGCAACACUGUUGUGAUUUCCAUUCUUAAAUCUGGCCACGCUCCAUUUGAACAAGCAUUAUUGCAGCAGUAUCACAGUGCACUGUACAGGCUCCUCCUGGCAGAUAAGUGAAUGGAAAAUGGAGAUAAUGUGAGCUAACAAAAAGAGGAAUAACUGCCUUGAUCCAAUUGCUUCCCAAAACCCUCACCCUAGGCACUUGGUGUAGCUGUGGAAUGGGGGGGAACAAAAAAUCAAAAUAAACACUACCUUUUUCCACUACCUUACAACUGAAGUUGUGUUUCUGCUCUGGACUUAACAUGAAAACAAUGUGUGCGAUGUACUUCAAAGCCUCUCCAAAUAAAGUGCCCACGGGGAAGGGUUUGGUGUUCAUUUGGUAAUUUAGGAUCCGAGGUGG